GCCGACUGGUCACAUCUGCAGCAGAUCGCCUCUCGAUGCCUCAACGUCUUCACUCGGCUCCCCGGACUUUUCCUUUGGCAGGCGGUGCAUCGUCCGUCUCUCAGUCUGCUUGUGUGUCCUUCCUGUGCGAGUUCUUGGUCUUCUGAUGAAAUUCACACCUCAGAGCAAUCAGGAAGUGGAAAGCAGGUCAUCGCUGACAGACGAGGGAAGAGAAGACGAGCUUCACAAAGACCUGGAAUCAGCAGGUACAAUUGUUUCAAAGAAGACGACAGCGGGUUGGCAAUGAAGAACGAGCUUGUUGAAGCUCGUUUAAAGAUGGCUAGUCAGGUCACGAGAGUAAAAGAGAACUCACAACACGUGUGGAGGUCCGAUGGUGCUGCACAUCCCCCCCAAAAACACCGGACCUGUGACCCCGAACACGCCGCCGAGGAGACGCUCAGCUGCUAGAAUCUUCCGGCCAAUCACCUUGAAUCCAAUGGAGAUUCUGUGGAAAGAACCAAAA
ensembl:lncRNA